GGGGUCGUAGCUCAGUUGGUAGAGCGUCUGAAUGGCAUUCAGAAGGUCGCAGGUUCGAUCCCUGUCGGCUCCACCA
rnacentral:tRNA from 1 species